UAGUCCACGCCGUAAACGAUGGGUACUAGUCGUCGGAUUUCCUAAUAGAUUCGGUGACGUCGCUAACGCAUUAAGUACCCCGCCUGGGAAGUACGGUCGCAAGACUAAAACUCAAAGGAAUUGACGGGGGCCCGCACAAGCGGUGGAUUAUGUGGUUUAAUUCGAAGCAACGCGCAGAACCCUACCAAGGCUUGAAAUCCUAGGAACCCAACGUAAUUGUUGGAGUGCCCGCAAGGGAAUCUAGUGACAGGUGCUGCAUGGCUGUCGUCAGCUCGUGUUGUGAAAUGUUGGGUUAAGUCUCGCAACGAGCGCAACCCCUAUCUUUAGUUGCCAGCAUUAAGUUGGGCACUCUAGAGAGACUGCCCGGGUUAACCGGGAGGAAGGUGGGGAUGACGUCAAGUCCUCAUGGCCCUUAUGCCUUGGGCUACACACGUAAUACAAUGGUGCAUACAGAGGGAAGCGACCCGGUGACGGUGAGCAAAUCUCAAAAAGUGCAUCUCAGUCCGGAUUGGAGUCUGCAACUCGA
rnacentral:rRNA from 1 species